rnacentral:rRNA from 1 species
AUACUGCAGUCGAGCGGACAGAAGGGAGCUUGCUCCCGGAUGUUAGCGGCGGACGGGUGAGUAACACGUGGGUAACCUGCCUGUAAGACUGGGAUAACUCCGGGAAACCGGAGCUAAUACCGGAUAGUUCCUUGAACCGCAUGGUUCAAGGAUGAAAGACGGUUUCGGCUGUCACUUACAGAUGGACCCGCGGCGCAUUAGCUAGUUGGUGGGGUAAUGGCUCACCAAGGCGACGAUGCGUAGCCGACCUGAGAGGGUGAUCGGCCACACUGGGACUGAGACACGGCCCAGACUCCUACGGGAGGCAGCAGUAGGGAAUCUUCCGCAAUGGACGAAAGUCUGACGGAGCAACGCCGCGUGAGUGAUGAAGGUUUUCGGAUCGUAAAGCUCUGUUGUUAGGGAAGAACAAGUGCGAGAGUAACUGCUCGCACCUUGACGGUACCUAACCAGAAAGCCACGGCUAACUACGUGCCAGCAGCCGCGGUAAUACGUAGGUGGCAAGCGUUGUCCGGAAUUAUUGGGCGUAAAGGGCUCGCAGGCGGUUUCUUAAGUCUGAUGUGAAAGCCCCCGGCUCAACCGGGGAGGGUCAUUGGAAACUGGGAAACUUGAGUGCAGAAGAGGAGAGUGGAAUUCCACGUGUAGCGGUGAAAUGCGUAGAGAUGUGGAGGAACACCAGUGGCGAAGGCGACUCUCUGGUCUGUAACUGACGCUGAGGAGCGAAAGCGUGGGGAGCGAACAGGAUUAGAUACU